GGGGGCGUACUGGAUAUCGACCAGUUGGAUACGUUCUCGAUUGCAUGCCGAGGAUGGUUCGUUUCCUCGUUAAACCAUCGAAUCAAAAACAUAACUGCCAACGAAGAAUUGGCCCUCGCGGCA
rnacentral:tmRNA from 1 species